ACGAACGCUGGCGGCGUGCCUAAUACAUGCAAGUAGAACGCUGAAGAGAGGAGCUUGCUCUUCUUGGAUGAGUUGCGAACGGGUGAGUAACGCGUAGGUAACCUGCCUUGUAGCGGGGGAUAACUAUUGGAAACGAUAGCUAAUACCGCAUAACAAUGGAUGACACAUGUCAUUUAUUUGAAAGGGGCAAUUGCUCCACUACAAGAUGGACCUGCGUUGUAUUAGCUAGUAGGUGAGGUAAUGGCUCACCUAGGCGACGAUACAUAGCCGACCUGAGAGGGCGAUCGGCCACACUGGGACUGAGACACGGCCCAGACUCCUACGGGAGGCAGCAGUAGGGAAUCUUCGGCAAUGGGGGCAACCCUGACCGAGCAACGCCGCGUGAGUGAAGAAGGUUUUCGGAUCGUAAAGCUCUGUUGUAAGUCAAGAACGGGUGUGAGAGUGGAAAGUUCACACUGUGACGGUAGCUUACCAGAAAGGGACGGCUAACUACGUG
rnacentral:rRNA from 1 species